GAUGAAGAACGCAGCGAAAUGCGAUAAGUAGUGUGAAUUGCAGAAUUGAGUGAAUCAUCGAAUCUUUGAACGCACAUUGCGCCCCUUGGUAUCCCGAGGGGCAUGCCUGUUCGAGCGUCAUUUCACCACUCAAGCCUGGCUUGGUGUUGGGCGACGUCCCCUUUGGGGACGCGCCUCGAAACGCUCGGCGGCGUGGCACCGGCUUUAAGCGUAGCAGAAUCUUUCGCUUUGGAAGUCGGGGCCCCGUCUGCCGGAAGACCUACUCGCAAGGUUGACCUCGGAUCAGGCAGGGAUACCCGCUGAACUUAAGCAUAUCAAUAAGCGGGGA
rnacentral:misc_RNA from 1 species